UUAGGUAGAGGUUGCGAAUAACAAGAGUAACUCAAUAGAGCUGGACAGAGCGAUGAAAUUGAGUGAAAGGGGAAUUCGCCGAAAUGAAGAUUAUGUCAAAAUCUUUGUUGGGCAUGUGAAAAAUAUUCACAUGACUGUCGUCAGAUAAAAUCUGAUGUUGUGCUAUC
rnacentral:ncRNA from 1 species